GACGAACGCUGGCGGCGUGCUUAACACAUGCAAGUCGAACGGUGAAGCUCCAGCUUGCUGGAGUGGAUCAGUGGCGAACGGGUGAGUAACACGUGAGCAACCUGCCCCAGACUCUGGAAUAAGCGCUGGAAACGGCGUCUAAUACUGGAUACGAGAUCAAGCCGCAUGGUUAUGGUCUGGAAAGUUUUUCGGUUUGGGAUGGGCUCGCGGCCUAUCAGCUUGUUGGUGAGGUAAUGGCUCACCAAGGCGACGACGGGUAGCCGGCCUGAGAGGGCGACCGGCCACAUUGGGACUGAGAUACGGCCCAGACUCCUACGGGAGGCAGCAGUGGGGAAUAUUGCACAAUGGGCGGAAGCCUGAUGCAGCGACGCCGCGUGAGGGAUGACGGCCUUCGGGUUGUAAACCGCUUUCGGCUGGGAAGAAGCGAAAGUGACGGUACCGGCAGAAGAAGCACCGGCUAACUACGUG
rnacentral:rRNA from 1 species